rnacentral:tRNA from 1 species
GCAGCAGUAGCUCAGCGUAGAGCACCAGUCUUGUAAACUGGCCGCCGAAGGUUAAAAUCCUUUCUGCCGCU